rnacentral:rRNA from 1 species
AUCCUGGCUCAGGACGAACGCUGGCGGCGUGCCUAAUACAUGCAAGUCGAGCGGAUUGAAAGAAGAGCUUGCUCUUCUUUCGGUCAGCGGCGGACGGGUGAGUAACACGUGGGUAACCUGCCUGUAAGACCGGGAUAACUCGCGGAAACGCGUGCUAAUACCGGAUAGGUCCCGUCGUCGCAUGGCGACGGGAGGAAAGAUGGCGCAAGCUAUCGCUUACAGAUGGGCCCGCGGCGCAUUAGCUAGUUGGUGGGGUAACGGCCCACCAAGGCGACGAUGCGUAGCCGACCUGAGAGGGUGAUCGGCCACAUUGGGACUGAGACACGGCCCAAACUCCUACGGGAGGCAGCAGUAGGGAAUCUUCCGCAAUGGACGCAAGUCUGACGGAGCAACGCCGCGUGAGCGAAGAAGGCCUUCGGGUCGUAAAGCUCUGUUGUCAGGGAAGAACAAGUACCGGAGUAACUGCCGGUACCUUGACGGUACCUGACCAGAAAGCCCCGGCUAACUACGUGCCAGCAGCCGCGGUAAUACGUAGGGGGCGAGCGUU